GGACAGGUGGCCGAGUGGUUGAAGGCGCACGCCUGGAAAGUGUGUAUAGGGGCAACUCUAUCGCGGGUUCGAAUCCCGCCCUGUCCGCCA
rnacentral:tRNA from 1 species